rnacentral:lncRNA from 1 species
UCGAGUCAAAGGCGUAGCCAAUCGCUCUUUGCGGCAGCGUUGAAAGGUGUAAACAUUUCUCUUUCUGUUCGUGUCUUGCCGAGAAAAUGAAAAUGAAGGUGGAAGAAGCCGUGAAUUCCAUGAGCACCAACUACCCUGGAAGGUGGCGAUCGCUGGUAUUGGCAUCUUCAUCUUGGCAUUCGUCCUUUUUUGGCUCGCCACCUCGCUAUGCGAUCAACAGGUGAACGAGACCCAGCUGAAGAAAAAUUCUUAGCCCGUGCGACGCCAGAGGGGCGUACAUCGAGUCAUCCGUCCAUCACCCAGGCCAACACAAAAUAAAC